UGCCAAAAAAGGUUGUUUCUGGUGGUAAAAGAGCAAAAUGCCGUCUUGGCAAUAUCAUUAACAUAUCGAUUAAGAGCCAUGGGGGACACUUUAAAAUUGUUGGUAGUUCUCGUUUUCCACUCCCUAAAGCUAUGAAUUCCAUGGCAAAAAUUCUCAGCACUCAAAUGGAGUUGGUAAAGGAAAAUACGGAUGUUCUUAAUGUCAGUGCUGAUUCACCGAAUGCCUCUUAAUGAAGAAACUAAAGGACAGGACAAGCCAUAAAUAUGUGGUCCCCUCCUUUGGUCCACCCGCAGUGGGGGCGUCCUAAAAACAGCCUAAGCUUUUUUAGUUGUUUUUCAUGACAAGUAAUUUUUGUCUUCUUUUACAAAUGGUGAUUUUUGAUUGGCGAUGUAUUUAUGUGUGAUUAUUAUAAAGAUAAUAGUGAUGAUGAAAUAAAAUAUUGUAAUGUGAGAUAAAAAGUAAGUUAAAUACAUCAUAUCUAAUCGCCCAUCCAAACUCAUUAAAAG